GAAAAGAGAAUUACACUGCCUUUUCUUUUUUCAGUGGAGUGUAUGUGCUUUGUUAAGGGGUAAAGGUGAGAAAGGGGAUGAAGAUCUAGAUUAGGGUUUGGCAAGCUUUUUCUGUAAGGGGCCAGAUAGUAGGCUCUCUAGGCCAUAUGGUGUCUUGUCACAAAUGCUCAACUCUGCCUCUGCAGCUUGAAAGCAGCCACAGAUACGAAUCGGUGUGGCUGUGUUCCAAUAAAACUUUAUUUACAAAAACAGAUGACAAGCUGGAUUUGUUCUACAGGCACCUGAUCUAGAAUGCAGUCCCUAGAGUCAAGCAUCUCACUGACAAAGCCCUUGGAUUGGAGUUUGCAUUCAGUUGGUGAAUUUCAAAUAAUCUUGUAUCUCAUGGAAGUGUUUUUGAGGCUUUUCAUUGAUGUGGCAAUGUGGCUUGAAAGGUACCUGGACAGAAGGGAACUGUGACACCCUGGAGGUAAUGCUGGGCAGGGUCAGGCCUGAACCGACAACACAGGUAAAGCUAUUUCAGUACUCCAGAGGAAAGCCAGCAGGUUCCAAAGCAGUGAAUGCAUCAGCGAGGGGAGGCUCUGGACAUUCCAACUCCAUAGCACCCUGGCCAGCAGACCAUCUGUGAAGGAGCCGGGCCCGAAGGACAGCUAAGGAGCAGAAGCUGUGAGAACACUACCAGCACCACAGAGCCACAGGGGCCAGCCAGUGGCAGGGUCACUCUUGGGAAGAUGGUGCUGGUUAAUAAAAGACACAGAGGCCUUGGUACGGUCUGCCUAGUUUUCAAAACAUGGGGAAGUAGACUAACGUAGACAUUGUAAACUGAUACAGUUGACUGAUCCCUGACAUACACUUUAUUAAAGAUAUUUUGAAAGCACUUAGUAAAGAAAGCAGUUUGUCCAUUUUGCAUUGCUGAGGAAAAGCAGAAGUCCAGCUCCUGCGGCCAAACUGUCUGAACAUCAUCUGAGUAGACCUGGCUUUCUGUGGAAGCAAGUCCCUGGAACUGGGACCCUGGAAGUGAUAAGGGACUGGACAGUAUUUCACAGCCACUGACACGUGCUAGAGAGGUGACAAAACCUUCAUCGGGCAAGAGAGAUCACUCUUGAGUGCUGCAUAAACAAGGGAGUAGAAGAGACAAGCCCAACAUGAAGUAUUUAGCUGAGAUAGCAUGAUAAUCCUUGUUCCAUACCCUGGUGAAUGCUUUCCAAUUUGAGAUAGCACGUCAUGAGGAGAUAAAUAGAGAAUGCUGGAGUGAGCAGACAGGCCAGGCUUAUAGAGAGCUGAAAAUGGAUAGUGAUGAUGCAAAAUUCCAGAUGGACUACCCUCUACUCUAGAGCUUUGCAAACUUCUGCUCAAAGAUGGGUAGGAAGAUUCUGUUGGCUGUGCAGGUAAGGUCAGCCCUGACUUUGUGGGAGGUGGAAGCGGGUAUCCUUCCUUUUAGUUACGUUUUUCUAUUCAUCUGUUUACAAUCUACAAGAACACGUUUCUGAAUCCAGUUUCUUUCCCUUCAAUUCCCAAGUUAAUCUCACUUUACCUAGUAACACAACUUAGAGCUUUGUGCCGACCUAAUUCUUCAUGGAAGACAACAGGUUCCCAUAGUGCCACCUCAACCAUCUCCCAGCAGAGAUUUAGCAAGACAGAGAGAGCACUCAAGUCAAGCAGGUGAAAGCAUAUAUCUCUUGCAUUUAUUUUUCUUUUUUGGACCACUAGUCUUUGUAAGUUUGUUUGUUUUUUGAGACAGAG
rnacentral:lncRNA from 1 species